CAGCUCAAAUAGCACUUGGGCAGUCAUGCCUUGGUAAGAGUCAGAAGAACCAACUUCAGACAGAUGUGUUUCCAUCAUGAGCAGUGCCUUGUCGAGCACCUCCACCAACAGGCACUCCACCCUUCAUUGGGUAGAUUUUUCUCAGGGAUUCUGAGAAAAUUCUCCGGGAUUCUGAAAAGAUUCAAACAGAACUUUGCUGUCUUUUAACACCUCUAGCUGCAGCUGAUCUGGAGUGGAACCAAGCCGAGCAGCUGACUGACAGCACACCUCUACGCUGAACACUUGGUCAGACCUACUGCAACCUUUUCCUCCUUGAUGGUGUUGAUGGCAGAAAUGGCAUCAGCAGACUGGCCCUCAGCCUUGAGGCAGGGGACAGCAUCAUCUGCAGCUCCUUACAGGGACAGAACAGGGCUGGAGGAGGUGCACGUUCCACCCUUGGUCACAGUGGUGGAAGCCCAGGAAUUGUCAGUGAGAACUGAAGGGAGCCAAGAAGGUCGCUGUGCACAGACACAGAUCACAGUUUUAUCUUCUCUGAUUGCUCAGCCCUCGAGAUCUGUAUAUUACUGCAGAAAUAUCCUGCUGGGAAAAGGCUGCAUAAAUUCUGGCCACCCUGUAAAUCCCACACUGAAGACUCACUUGGGAAGAAGACGCAAAAUGUUGUGCUGGCUGUCUGAGUGAAGAAGCUUCAUGCUUGGAAGACCCUCAGCUAAAACUCCUGAAGAGGAGCAUUUCCCUAUUUGAACAGAAGUUUUUAAGGAUUCUUUCCUUGGUCUGUACA